rnacentral:rRNA from 1 species
UGUUGUGUUGUAAGGGCGCAUGGUGGAUGCCUUGGCAUAGUAGGCCGAUGAAGGACGUGAGAGGCUGCGAUAGGCCUCGGGGAGCUGCCAACUAAGCGUUGAUCCGAGGGUGUCCGAAUGGGGAAACCUGGCCGUCGUUGUGGGCGGUCGCCGUUAGAUGAAUUCAUAGUCUAAUUGGUGGUUACGCGGGGAAGUGAAACAUCUCAGUACCCGUAGGAGUAGAAAACAAUUGUGAUUCCGUUAGUAGUGGCGAACGAACGUGGAUGAGGCUAAACCGCGUGCGUGUGAUACCUGGCAGGGUUUGCGUGCGUGGGGUUGUGGGGAUGCAUUUGUGCAGGGUCUGCUAGUCCUGCGUUGCGUGUGUGUGGGUGUAGCGGAAGUGGAUUGGAAUGUCCUGCCGUAGACGGUGAGAGUCCGGUACGUGAAACACUCGCAUCUGCAAUUGGUGUGUUGCCCGAGUAGCAGCGGGCUCGUGGAAUCUGCUGUGAAUCUGCCGGGACCACCCGGUAAGCCUAAAUACCUGCUUAUGACCGAUAGCGGAUUAGUACCGUGAGGGAAUGGUGAAAAGUACCCCGGGAGGGGAGUGAAAUAGUACCUGAAACCAUGUGCUUACAAUCCGUCAGAGCCUCCGUGUGGGGUGAUGGCGUGCCUUUUGAAGAAUGAGCCUGCGAGUCAGCGGCAUGUCGCGAGGUUAACCCGUUUGGUGGGGUAGUCGUAGCGAAAGCGAAUACUAAUUAGUGUGUUUUUAGUGGCAUGUCCUGGACCCGAAGCGGGGUGAUCUACCCAUGGCCAGUGUGAAGCAGAGGUAAGACUCUGUGGAGGCGCGAACCCACUUAGGUUGAAAACUGAGGGGAUGAGUUGUGGGUAGGGGUGAAAGGCCAAUCAAACUCCGUGAUAGCUGGUUCUCCCCGAAAUGCAUUUAGGUGCAGCGUCGUGUGUUUCCUCCUGGAGGUAGAGCUACUGGUUGGUUUAGCGGGACUAUCAUCUUAGCGACAUCAGCCAAACUCCGAAUGCCAGGUCAGGUGAGAGCACGGCAGUGAGACUGCGGGGGAUAAGCUUCGUAGUCGAGAGGGAAACAGCCCAGAUCGCCGGCUAAGGCCCCUAAGGGUGUGCUAAGUGGAAAAGGAUGUGGGAUCGCGAAGACAACCAGGAGGUUGGCUUAGAAGCAGCCAUCCUUGAAAGAGUGCGUAAUAGCUCACUGGUCGAGUGGUUCUGCGCCGACAAUGUAGUGGGGCUCAAGUACACCGCCGAAGCCGCGGCAAUCACCAUUUUGUGGUGGUUGGGUAGGGGAGCGUCGCGUGACUGCUGUGAAGCGCUGGGGUAACCCUAGUGUGGAGUGUGCGCGAGUGAGAAUGCAGGCAUGAGUAGCGAAUGAGGAGUGGAAAACUCCUCCGCCGAAUGACUAAGGGUUCCUGGGCCAGGUUAAUCCUCCCAGGGUGAGUCGGGGCCUAAGGCGAGGCCGACAGGCGUAGUCGAUGGAUAACGGGUUGAUAUUCCCGUACCCGUGUGUCCGCGCCCAUGGUGAAUCAGGGAUACUAACCCACCUGAACACGCGCCGUUUACUAGCCUUUUGGGUUGGUUGGUGUGUGUGAUGCUGGGGACCUGAACUGGUAGUAGCCAAGUGAUGGGGUGACGCAGGAAGGUAGCCGUGCCACGUGAUGGAUAUCGUGGUGUAAGCGUGUGGCCCGUGUUCUAGGUAAAUCCGGAGCACAGUGGGUGAGGCGUGAUGCGUACCCGUAUUUGGGGAAGUUGGUGAUCCUAUGCUGCCGAGAAAAGCCUCUAGCGAUGUGGAUAUACGGCCCGUACCCGAAACCGACACAGGUAGUCAGGUAGAGAAUACUAAGGCGAUCGGGAGAACUGUGGUUAAGGAACUCGGCAAAAUGCCCCCGUAACUUCGGGAGAAGGGGGGCCAUGACUGGUGACCGACGUGGUUGAGCUGGUUGUGGCCGCAGAGAAUAGAGGGAAGCGACUGUUUACUAAAAACACAGGUCCGUGCGAAGACGUUUAAGUCGAUGUAUACGGACUGACGCCUGCCCGGUGCUGGAAGGUUAAGAGGACCUGUUAGAUUCCUUGUGGGGUCGAAGCGGAGAAUUUAAGCCCCAGUAAACGGCGGUGGUAACUAUAACCAUCCUAAGGUAGCGAAAUUCCUUGUCGGGUAAGUUC